AUACCCCAUGAUGCUCAGGUCCGCCGCAUCUCCUGGGUCGUGGGGUCGGUCGGCUGGUAUGCAACAUCAGCGGUUCCUCGUGCCGCGUUGCCUGCCGGUCGACCCCCUU
rfam:Rhizobium sp. Root708 contig_4, whole genome shotgun sequence.